CUGCUGCUUCCCAUUCCUUUCCUGCAGGUCAUGUCUACACCACUCUCCUACACCAAUGGUUUUCAAACUUGAGCGUGCACCAGAACCUCCUGGGCCCACCUCAAGACCCACAGAAUCGAGCUCUGGGGGUUGGGUUGUCCCAGGAGCAGACUGGGAGACAAGAACAUGAGCGAUCCCAGGAAGCCCUAGCAGAGGAGAGGAGAAAGUGAGCCAGGGAAGGGGAAGGCAGGCAGCAACACAGGGCAUCUUAGCUGGUAAGUUGUCCCUGUGGGCUCAACUCUUCUUGGGAACUUUGGGAGCCAGUGAAGAGUGCACCAUCAAUAACCCUGAGAUCAAGUUUAUUCCAGCCAGGAGGUGAGGGAGCUGAGGUAUUUAUCCACCCAUCUUGGCAGACAUUGGUUGCAGGAUGCUUCUAGCCAGGGAGUGUGUGAACAGCCUGCCAGUGCAUGGGAAGAGCGGCUGCAGUGGUCUGAGAAAGUCUCCGAGCCCAGGAAGUCAUGGGUGUUUGCUGCUGGUCACCACUGGAUGAAUGAAGCCCAGCUCGGCAUGGUAAGGCAACUUCUAGAAGUCUCCAAAGACCAGAUCCCUUCUACCGUGUUGACCCUCCAUCCUCAACACAGAGCUUCUACCUCGUUGUCCAAGGCAGCUGCUUGUGCUCCAGCCAUCACAUCCCACCUUCAGUCAUCAGGAAAGAGAAAGGGAUAAGCAGGGGCUUGCUUCUUCCUGUAAGGACACUUCCCAAAAGACUUCACACAAGACUUCUACUUACAUCUUACUGGCCAGCACUUGGUCACACUUCCAUAUGACCAGGAGCUAAAAAUCAGGGGCCUUGUUAGCAAAAAAUAUGUGGAGAAUGAAUGGUGUGGUGCAGCCAGCAGCCUUGCCUUGGGAACCUUUCCAGAGAGCCAUUUGAUUGCUCUGUGAUUCGUCUGCUUUGCGCCAAGGCCUGGAGCAACAGCAGGGAGCACAUUCAGGAACCCCCCACCUUGAGGGGCCCACAGGUCAGUGGGGAACAGUGAAGUGGACAAGUCAAUACGCACACAGUCACGAUGCUUGCUAGGCCAAGUCCUGUGGGGGACACGGCAGAGGGGUAAGAAAGAGCAUCAGAAGAGCAGGGGCAAAAGCCUACCCUAGCAUAGGGAGACAGGCAGGGCCCUUCUGAGGAGGUGACAUUGGGACAGAG
rnacentral:lncRNA from 10 species